rnacentral:rRNA from 1 species
GACGAACGCUGGCGGCAUGCUUAACACAUGCAAGUCGAACACCGGCGCACGGGUGAGUAACACGUAUCCAACCUGCCCUUUACUCGGGGAUAGCCUUUGGAAAGAAAGAUUAAUACCCGAUGUAAAGGAUGGGGGGGCGUUCGUUUGGGUUGUUGGUGAGGUAACGGCACACCAAGCCUUCGUUGGAUGGUGGUUCGGAGGGGAAGGUCCACUGCAUCUGAGCUGCGACACAGUCUACACUCCUACGGGAGGCAGCAGUAAGGUGUACUAGGCAAUGAGCGUUGUCCUGAACCAGCCGCGUAGCGUGAAGAAUGAAGGCUUAUGGGUCGUCAACUUGUUGUAUAGAAGGAUAGGUAUUAUAUGAAUAAGGAUCGGCUAACUCCGUGCCAGCCGCCGCGGUAAUAC